rnacentral:lncRNA from 1 species
AUGCAUCUUGUCAUGUGUAAUCUGUUGUUCUGUGAAAUGGUUGAGUUACAGUCACUCGGCACAAUGACCAACGCAACAGCCUUUUCCCUCAUCAUUGCCACCACACAGAACAAGGAUGAACCUCCAAAGGACCUGUGUGGCAAUGGUCUCAGUAACAUGGGUGGAAACGUCCUCACUUUCCUACUGGAAGGCCAAGUGGCCAGGACAAGGAGGCAGGAGCAUUGACACAUCUUUCUUUUGAGAAGGACACUGGGUGGGGGAACUGGGGGAUAAAUCUAAUAUCAACUCCCAGCAGGACCAGAUUCUGCUCUUGGUAACAUCACAGGUCUAGAGAAGAGCAAAACAGCAGGGACAGAUCUUCUUUCCCCAUGGCACCAGGAAAUGCCAGAUCAAGAGCUUUCUGUGCAAGACAUAGCCUGAUGCUUAUUUCCUUAAGAUAAGGACUACAGAGAGAAGAGGAGAUUUAGGAAGAAGGAACAUUUUCCAACCCAAAGAGAGCUGCAGAGAUUUACAGCCUUGUUUUACCGGCACUUGGUACAGCACAAGACAAUGCCGCUAACUUCAGAACCCAGUUUCAGAACAUCCUCAUAGGUACAUUGGUGGAAACCAGGUGUACAGUUUAAGAUCAUGAAGUCCAAAAUGAAGUCUCUUAGGCGAUGCAGCUUUACCUCUCAGUGACUUUCUUUUUCUUUUUCUGUAAAUCAAAUCUUUUCCUGCUGCUGGGAAAGAUACAGACAACGAAUCUCAAGCCUUCAGAUCUCCACUGCUGAGAGGACUGCAGACAGACCCACAAUAUGCACUUAGCAUGCAGGACUGGCAAUGUGCAGUGUUUGCUUCAUGGAACAGCAUCAUUACACAGCAGAGGAGCAAAUCAAUGCCAGCUCCCACUGAUGUGAUGUCUUUUGUGCCUGCAUUCAUAGAUGGAGAUUUUAGCUUCCUCUAGAAAGUUACAGAAGCAGAAGUUUUUUUCUACCGCCCCCCAAUUGCUUGCAGGCAUUGUUUACAGAACAAGAAAACAAAUUUGGAAAACAGCUCAGGUUUAACCACUUCAACAAGAAGAAGUAAAUUUGACUAUAUAGAAUCCACUGCUAACAUUACUUUUUGAAAAUAAAUGUUCCCUGAGAAAGCUAUAAUCA